GGGGCUGUGGCUCAGUUGGCAGAGCAUUUGCUUUGUACAUAGAAGGUCCCAGGUUCAAUCCCUGGCAUUUCCA